CAGAAGUGUUUUGUGGACUCAAACACUUCACCCACUCCCCCAUCGGCAUAGUGUGAGUGCAGAUCAGUGGGGGUGUGAGGAGAGAGAACAGGAUGUUGCGUGGUACCCAGGCCUCCGCUGCAAAAUGUAUGUAGCAGAAACUCGACAGAUCUUGAAUACACACAUUGGGCUGUCAGUUCAGUACCAUGAUCACUGAGUGACCCACCUCCACCCCUGCACUGCCGCUUCCUUCAACCAUCCAACCAGAAGCCCUUCAUCAGAGGUCCCAUCUUCCUGCUCCAUUCCUCAUCAUCACCACCAGUCCAGAG